AGCGUGAACACAUGGCACAUUGCACAGUGAACCACACCCACCAGAGGUCUGAGGCCGACACCCACCGCUGAUGCCGUCGAGUCAAACGAGAACGGCACAUUCUGACUGACUCUCCCAACACCCUGAAAGACACCAAUAUAUUCCUUAGUUCCCUCCUUCCUUCCUCCUUCCCUCAGUUCCUUGCCUUAUUCCCUCACCUACCGUACUUCCUUAUAAGGUAUGUCCUCCAUUUGUCUGUCAAUCAAACCGGGAGGCUCCACCAACUCCUUCCUGGAGACAUGCAUCAGAGCGCACAGCUGAGCUUUGAGGUGGCCGGAACACGGCAGGCGACCUCGACGUACGUCCUGACAAAGUUGGAGGACCAAUCAUGGCAGCUGACUCCAGUCCUCCUGUCUGCGUUCAGAUCCUCGCUGUGAUCAUCCUCCUCUGUUUUGGAGUCUAUAGCUUAAUCAAGGGAGCCUCCUCCUCCUCCUUCAGCUGGUGGUCAAUCCUGGGAGCUGCCUGUCUGCUCGCCACCGCCUUUGCUGCCUUUCGCCUCUAUGAGGUCUGCAGGAGAAAGGCAGAGGAGGCGAAGAAGAGGCGAGAAAAAGACGAGCACAGAGGAUUGUCUGAGGAGAAGUGAUGAAGAGGAGCUUCAGAUCAAUAAUCCUGAAUUAUUUUAAUUUGUCCCAAACGGCUGAUGUCACACUUUCUCUCUCCUGAUUGGCUGCUGGGUGGUGUUACACUGUAAAAAGAUU